CUUGUAGAUGUCCCACCACAUUCCCUCGGGAGGGUCAUGAAAUUCUUGCCCUGGGCUCAGAUGAAGCGGAAUUAGCCUCUGGACCCCUCCUGGUGCAAGCGACAUGGCCCUGGGUGAGCUCUGGCAUGUCUGCAAGCUUCAGUUGCUUCAUCCAUAAAGUGCAGAAAUCAGAUCAAUGCCAGGAAGAGGGACCCCGCUGCCCCUCCUGAUGUGUGUGCAUCCUCUGCAAGCAAGGG